CAGGUACUCCCUCCGUUCGGAAUUACUUGUCGCAGAAAUGGAUGUAUCUACUAGAUACAUCCAUUUCUGCGACAAGUAAUUCCGAACGGAGGGAGUAAUAA
rfam:Triticum aestivum genome assembly, contig: Triticum_aestivum_CS42_TGACv1_scaffold_096669_2AL